UCAGCGGCGGACGGGUGAGUAACACGUGGGCAACCUGCCUGUAAGACUGGGAUAACUUCGGGAAACCGGAGCUAAUACCGGAUAAUAUAAAGAACCUCCUGGUUCUUUNUUGAAAGAUGGUUUCGGCUAUCACUUACAGAUGGGCCCGCGGCGCAUUAGCUAGUUGGUGAGGUAACGGCUCACCAAGGCGACGAUGCGUAGCCGACCUGAGAGGGUGAUCGGCCACACUGGGACUGAGACACGGCCCAGACUCCUACGGGAGGCAGCAGUAGGGAAUCUUCCACAAUGGACGAAAGUCUGAUGGAGCAACGCCGCGUGAGCGAUGAAGGCCUUCGGGUCGUAAAGCUCUGUUGUUAGGGAAGAACAAGUGCGAGAGUAACUGCUCGCACCUUGACGGUACCUAACCAGAAAGCCACGGCUAACUACGUGCCAGCAGCCGCGGUAAUACGUAGGUGGCAAGCGUUGUCCGGAAUUAUUGGGCGUAAAGCGCGCGCAGGUGGUUCUUUAAGUCUGAUGUGAAAGCCCACGGCUCAACCGUGGAGGGUCAUUGGAAACUGGGGAACUUGAGUGCAGAAGAGGAAAGUGGAAUUCCAAGUGUAGCGGUGAAAUGCGUAGAGAUUUGGAGGAACACCAGUGGCGAAGGCGACUUUCUGGUCUGUAACUGACACUGAGGCGCGAAAGCGUGGGGAGCAAACAGGAUUAGAUACCCUGGUAGUCCACGCCGUAAACGAUGAGUGCUAAGUGUUAGAGGGUUUCCGCCCUUUUA
rnacentral:rRNA from 1 species